rnacentral:rRNA from 1 species
UACGUAGGGACCGAGCGUUGUCCGGAUUCAUUGGGCGUAAAGAGCUCGUAGGCGGCCACUCAAGUCGAAUGUGAAACCUCGAGGCUUAACCUCGAGCCUGCAUUCGAUACUGGGCGGCUAGAGUCUGGUAGGGGGAUCUGGAAUUCCUGGUGUAGCGGUGGAAUGCGCAGAUAUCAGGAGGAACACCGGUGGCGAAGGCGGCUCACUGGCCCGGAACUGACGCUGAGGUGCGAAGGCCAGGGGAGCAAACGGG